GCUUACGCCAUACCACCCUGAACACGCCCGAUCUCGUCAGAUCUCGGAAGCUAAGCAGGGUCGGGCCUGGUUAGUACUUGGAUGGGAGACCGCCUGGGAAUACCAGGUGCUGUAAGCU
rnacentral:rRNA from 1 species